rnacentral:rRNA from 1 species
ACUCCUACGGGAGGCAGCGGUAGGGAGUUUUCGGCAAUGGGGGCAACCCUGACCGAGCAACGCCGCGUGAGUGAUGAAGGUCUUCGGAUUGUAAAACUCUGUUGUGGAGGACGAAUGGUAGGGAUAGGCAAUGAUCUCUAUUUGACAGUACUUCAUUAGAAAGCCAUGGCUAACUAUGUGCCAGCAGCCGCGGUAAUAC